rnacentral:rRNA from 1 species
UACGUAGGGUGCGAGCGUUGCCCGGAUUUAUUGGGCGUAAAGGGCGCGCAGGCGGUACGGCACGUCCGUUGUGAAAUCGCUCGGCUCAACUGGGCGGGGUCAGCGGAUACGGCCGCACUUGAGCAAGCUAGGGGGCAAUGGAAUUCCCGGUGUAGUGGUGGAAUGCGUAGAUAUCGGGAGGAACACCAGUGGCGAAGGCGGUUGCCUGGAGCUUUGCUGACGCUGAUGCGCGAAAGCCAGGGGAGCAAACGGG